rnacentral:rRNA from 1 species
AAAAACUAGGAUUAGAUACCCUAUUAUUUAAAAUGUAAAUAAAUUACUAAAGUAGUAAUAGUUAUGUUCUUGAAACUUAAAAAAUUUGGCGGUAUUUUAGUCUAUCCAGAGGAACCUGUUUUGUAAUCGAUAAUCCACGAU